UUCGCUUUGGUUUUAAACAUCAUACAUAUUAUGGUAUAUGGUAAAAAUUACACAGUCCGCACAUUCAAGACCUAUUGACGAUAACAAACGGAUUUAAGACAAUUUAUCUCCUUAAAUAAAUAGUGUGACCCCGCAGAAUGUCGUUAUCUGUGUUUAAACUUCCCGAAAAGUAUUUCAUAGCUUGAAUAAAGACAACGUGUCAGGUAACAACAGGCGCCUAUGAAGAAACUUCAUGUGUACGUGCUCGUCAGUGAAGGACUUUUCGAAACAACCAGGUUUUGCAGAAUUAAGGCCAGAUAAACACAAAUCAGAAUGACAGGUGACAAAGAUCCACUCUUGAAAGAAGCACAUACGACUGGCACAGAUUCGGCUGAUAAUACUUUGGAAAGUGUGUCAGAAUAUGGCUCUAUGUCCGGCAAUCUUCAAAUGGAAAAUGAGACCGAUGGCAAACAUAAAGAUGCUGCUAGAAAUGACAGCUCAGUUGAAAGUGAACAUGAACCUACAAGUGAUUGCAUCGAUCUUGUUGAACGUUUACGUCGAGUAGACAAACGGAUAAUAAUUGACAUUGUCUGUAUAGUGGUCAUGACAAGUGUGUAUAUAUUAAAUUUUAUGUCGUACAUGGCAUUUGUUAAAGAUGUCGAAUACCUGAAGUGUGGUUUAAUAUGGCUAUUCAAACCAUGCUAUGAAGUCGAAUGUGCGUGGCGCCUAUCAACGGUGUGUGAUAUACUUAUUGCUAGCACGUAUUGUGGAGUUUAUUUCAGUUGUUCAUUGAUUCGUUUAGUACUGUCGUGGUGGUUCUCAGAAUCAUCAAAACCAUGCUGUAAAUGCAAGUGGUCUUUAUUGACUGUUUUGUUUUCAAAGGUUUUGUGUAUUUCGCUAAUGCACUUGAAAAAUAGUUUAUUUCAGAAAGGUUGGGGAAAGCUUUAUCCUGAUAUUUCUAUUGGCGGGACUAUCGCAUUAAUAUAUACAGUUGUUAUGUUAGAGUCACUGUUGGUAUACUUUGUUGUAUACAGGUAUUUGGCCAAGUUCUUCUUUUUUUGCUAUCAUAGCGCCGUCAUUGCUGCAGUCGCUCUGAAGUCCAACUGUACAAGACUGCGACAGUCCAUCUGUACAAGACUGCGGCAAUCAUGGUUAGGAAAUUUCUGUCAGCGUCUGCUGUAAAACUUGUCUGUAGCUGACUGGACAUCUUAAGAAUAAAAUUGGAGGGUAUUAAAACAUUAAAUACAUGCAUCAACGCAAAAUUAAUAUUCCACAUCUUAUUUCCGUGUAACUUAAUGUUCCUUAACAAUAGUACAUGAUACAAAUUAAACUUGAUGUAAAACUU